rnacentral:rRNA from 1 species
UACGAAGGUCCCGAGCGUUAUCCGGAUUUAUUGGGUUUAAAGGGUGCGUAGGCGGAAUAAUAAGUCAGUGGUGAAAUCUUACAGCUUAACUGUAAAACUGCCAUUGAUACUGUUGUUCUUGAGUACAUAUGAUGUGGGCGGAAUAUGUCAUGUAGUGGUGAAAUACUUAGAUAUGACAUAGAACACCGAUUGCGAAGGCAGCUCACAAAAAUGUAACUGACGCUGAGGCACGAAAGCGUGGGGAUCAAACAGG